rnacentral:lncRNA from 1 species
CAGGGUUUGUGAGGGGGAGAGAGGUGAGAUGUGGAUUGCAAGAAGUAGUCUGUGGCCGAUUAUAUCAGGCUUUGGAGGUUUUUUAUAAGGAUCUGGCUUUUAUCCUAAAUAAGCUAGGGAGCCAAUGAAGGGUUUUGAGCAGAGAAGUGUCAUGAUCUAAAUCAUAUGUUUAAAGCAUCAGACUGGCUGCUGUGUUGAGAAUAAACUGGUGGGCUAAGGCAGCAGGAGGGAGACCAGCUAGGAGGUGAUUGCAGGAAGUCAAGCAAGUGAUAAUGGGCUUGUACCCAGCUAGUGGGGUUCCAGUUAGUGAUGUUGAAAGUGUUGAAAAGUGUUCCGUUUCUGCUUUUUUUUAAAUGUGAAACCAACAGGACAUGCCAGUGAUUAUAAAGCAUAUGAUGAUGAUAUAGGAUAAAGGAAGAGAGGAGUUAAUUAAAUAUGACACUGAUGUUUUUAUCCUGAACAAAUGGAAGGAAGGAAUUGCUGAAAUAGAGACGUCUCUGAAGAGCAGAAGCUGUUUUGAACAUUGCAGUUUGAAAUACCUAUUAGACCUCUGCUUGGAGAUCCCAAACAGGAAAAAUCAGUGGUUAUGGUCAGAAAGUGGGAAGCUUGAAGUUGAGAUUAUCAAGUUAAUAUCAGUGCAGUCAUUGGUAAUGAUAAGUUCUAGGAUCUAAGCAAUGGGAAGAAAGAAGUUGGCUGAAGAAAUGAUGGAAAUUAAUUAUAUAAUUGAAGAAAAAGAAGUCAAGGCACUGAGAGCAUGUUCAGUUGGCAGAAAUUCCAUGACAGCAUCUACAAGGGCAUAUUGGAGAGAGUGAGGGUAAGCUUGGAGUUUUCGCUCGUUGAACUUGUUCUCGUGAGCCUAUGAAUCUGGAGAAUCUUAUCCUUCUGUUCUAGGGAAGUUUUAAAAUCCUUUCUUUUAUAAUUUCUCCCCUCUGUUUUCUACAUUUUGUCUUUCUUAAAGUCCUGUUAGUAAAUGAUGGUCUCCUAGUUCAAUUACCUGAUUUACUUGACUCUUCCAUUUUUCCAUCCCUUUGUCUUUUUACUUAGUUUCUUGAAGACUUACCUUCCAGCCCUUUUAUUGAAUCUGUUAUUUCUGUUACCCUAUUUUCAUUUACCAAGAAUGAUUUCUUAUGCUCUACAUACUCCUUUUUUCAUGUAACCACACAUUCUUAUUUUGCAGAUGUAACAUUUUAUCUUUUUUUUGAGGUCAAUAAUAUGUUUAAGUGUUCUUUUCACUGCACUUUUUGUUACUCCAAGUUGCCUUUAUUCAUUUAUUUGUUUAUUUUAAUCUUUAAUAUUUUAUGUUGGAGACUUUCCUCACAUGUCUGGUGAUACUUGAUUGUUCACACUUAAGAGUGAGGCACUUAAAAAGCAAAUGGGAAGCUUUGUGUGUAUUUGCAGUGUUUGUCAAUUGCUACUGUUUACUGGAGAGCAAUCAGUCAGGCACCUGGUCAUUUCACUGGGAGACUUAAAAAUGUCAGUAUAUAAGUCUUUUCUCCAAUCAGUUGGUUUUGUCAAAGGGGACUCUUCCAAUUCCCUGCCUAGGGAAUAUAAAUCUAGUUGCCAGUGCCCUAACUGCAAGUGAGGGAAAAAGGGUGGGAGUCUCACUAAUUAGUAUAUGGCAUGUAGACUUGACCUUGAUCAUCCUUUUUCAGCCUUACUCCUAUCCUCUACAAAACAUGGUAUCAUUGGGUCUGAAAAUCCCUGGCUCUAUUUCCCUAGAAAUUAAACCAGUUGCCUGCUGGGCUGGUUGGUGUACAGAAGAGGAGAAGGAUUCUGAGGGGUCAUCUCCAAUCCCAUUUUUUUUCAGCCCCAGCCUGCAUCCCUUUCUACAGAAGUAACAACAAUUUCCAGUUUCUGAGCCUUUCCAGGGUUGUACAUCAUUUCAGAGAGGCUUCAGGAUGGAGUUGUGAUAAACGCAUGUGUUCAGUCUACAAUGUUUAACAGGGAGUGCCUCUUGAUUUUUUCAUGUGAAUUACUGAGGAGUAGGUAGUAGACUAUCUUGAUGCCCUUCCUCAUGUCCCUUUGACUCUGAGUUGACCUGCAGCUGCAGUGAACACUUCCUAAGGAUGCUGAUGUCUUCCCCUAUCAAGCACUUGCCUCAUUCUGCUUCUCCGAGGAUUUCCUCCAGUACACCAAGAGCUUGCCCGACACUCACAAGGUAUCCUGGAACUGCUGGGGACUGAAAACCCCUCAACCCAUGAAGAAUGAGGAUCAGUGGAUUAAUAGCAACUGUCCCAUACCUUGGUGGGACUAUUAUAAGGCAUUCUGGUUGGUUCCUCAGAGGUCCCAAAUGGGAUUGAACCAAAGUUGCCCACAGUAAAAACUCAUUCACCAACUCAAUUUUCAUUUCACCCCUCUCAAUUUGCACACUCACUCACUUGUUCUACCUGGGAUACUCUCCAAGAUAAACUCCUGUAUCCAAAGCUUUGUCUCAAGGUCUCAUUUGGGAGGAACUCAAACUAAGAUAAUAGGUACUGGAAGUGACUACAGAAAGUAUAUUAUCAAUGGUAUGGAGGCAACAAAAACCCCAUUAAUGGUGGUGAGUAAGGUGGUGACAAACCCUGGCACUUUGAAGAAUUUCAUUACCCACAAUUGACCCAUGGUGUACUUGGAUGAGGUAAAAAUGAAAGGAGACGCUAACCUUAUGCAAUAGUGCUAACUCCUGAAAGAUAUAGGGCUGUGAUAAUCACAGGAAUUGAAGAGUUGUCUUGUUCUUGUUAACUCCCCUAGAAGAAUUGGGAAAAAAGAAAGAUAGGUUUACAACAUCCAACUACCCAUUCAGAGCAUAGCAAUGAAAGCCAGAAGGUCUCCUUGGGAGAAUCUGAAGAGACCCCCAUUUCCUGCAACCAGAGGGCAGGCUGUUCUAAAAAAAUGACAUUCAGGGGUUCACUGCAAGAGGAAUUGAACUACAGAGCAGACUGAAGACACAGUCCAGGCAGGCCUCUCAUGCAAAAGUCAAAGCCCUAGAGGAAGGAAAUGGUCCUUAAAAACUACUGGGAUGCAGGCAGGCAUCUGGAUAGAUGUGCUAGAUAACCUUGAACCCCUAGAUUCCCUGAACAACCCAGGCUAGCAGGAGUAUCCUGCACCCUGUUACUUGAACAGAACAGCUUCCCUUUGCCUAGAGACUCUACACAGUCCUCCUCUGAAGCAGACACCUCCAAGAUUACUUCAAGGUCUGCUACUUCCUGCCCUCAUUGCCUCUAUUCCAAAAACUGGAAACAAGUCUCAGCAUGCCCUGAGCAGGGUAGCACAUUUCUUGCUGUGAGAGAUAUGACAGAUUGUAUUUUCUAAAGAAGGCUGCAACCAUGUCUCUCAUCCCAAAUGCUCUUCUACAAUGCAAUCUUGUCACUCCUCUACCAAGAGAUGAAACCUAAUUUCAAUGCCCUUGAAUCUAAGCUGGACUUUACUUGCUUUGACCUGUAAUGUACAGAAGUGACACUGUGUGAUUCUUACAGCUGAGUCAUAAAAGGUGAUGCAGCUUCUGCCUUGUUCCUGGGGACAUAUGCCUCUGUGAGAUUGAGCUACUAAAUAACAAGACCACCUACCUUGAGGCUGCCAUGCUGGAAGAAAGCAAAGCCACAUGAAGAGCAAGUAAGCUGGUUGCUUUAGCAAGAUCCUUCAUAUUGAUAGUGAAUGUGCACUUCUGUCUUUCUCUUGUGAAUGCAAACCACUUUUUCAAUAGUCUCACGUUAAGUGCCAAAGAUUGUUGUUUUUGUUGAAUGCAUUCUCUUUAUCAUUCACUACCUGGCCCUAGGAAUUUGUUCAAUGAUCCUCAUUUCUGUUACAAUAUAGUCUUCAGUGACCUUGAUCAUCUUCACAUUCUAUAGAACAUCAUCCUGGCCCAUUAUAUUAAUGACAGAAUAAUAAUUGAACUUGGUUUUUAGGAAGGAGCAAGUAUACUGGUUUUAAAUACUUCAUGCUGAAGGAAUGAGAGAUAAGCCCUACAAAGUUUUGGAAGUCUGCCACAUCAGGGAAUAUUUUAGGGGCCCAAAGAUCCAGGGGUAUGUUGAGACACCCUACUCAAAAGAAUACUUUACAUUUCCUACCACUAAGACAGAGGCACAGCACUUGGUGAGCUGCUUUGAAUUCCUGAGGCAAAAAAAUAACAAUAAUAAAUACUACCCAUGAGAAUAAUGCUCUGAUCUAUUGUAUCAGAAGACUAUUGACUUUGCGGGGGUCUGAGAGAGUAUCUGAAUAGCCUUUUAAAGACUUAAAAAGGCAUUGGCUUAGGAAUUGCACCUUGCAUGGCUAGGUCAUUGUCCUCGAGGAUACAGCAUAUUUGUUGAACCAGUGAUCACUAUAUGCAAUCACUGUGCUGUUUUCCCAGCAUUUGGAAUACACAGGAAUGAUAAUUAAAGGAUACAAGUAGGACUGACUUAAACACACUCCCUUUCACCCAUUAGUGGAAAUUAUGUUUUUAAUUCUUACAACUUUAGGCUCUUCCUGAUUAAAAGCCUUGGUCUCAAGGUGUGUGUACAGACGGAGACAGUAAGUGUUCCACUGCAUCAAUGCAGUGCCAUCUGAGGAUUUGGGCAUCUCCAUACUGACAGGUCAGCAGGCAAAAAUGGGAGUACUAUACUGGCAGGGACACCUGACUGAUUAUCUUGAAGAGUCGGAGUUGCUGCUACAUAAUGGGCCCAGGGAGGAAGAUGUCUAGAACUUGGGGGAAUCACUCAGGCCCCCCUUAGUGCUUCUUUGUCUGGCGAUAAUAGCAGAGAAGCAAUUGAAGUAGCCAUGUCCUCACAAGGGCAAGGUAAUCAAGGCCCAGCCACUCAGAGAUGAAGGUCUGGUCAUACACUGAGCAAGCAAUGAUGACUAGUGGAAGUGCUAGCCAAGGAUUCGGGAAAUCUAGAAGAAGUGGAAUUGGAGAGAGAUGAUGAGUAUAGAUUAUAGCCUUGGGACCAGCUGCAGCAGUGAAGAUUGUGACUUGUUCCACAUAUUCUUCUAUUUUCAGUCAUUUUUGGAGAUUGCAGCCAGCUACAACUCUGAAAUGUCAGUAACAGAGCAAACUAAGGGUGGGCAUGAGAGGAUCUGCUGAGAGCAAGGAAUGAACAUGGUAGUCACUAAUGAUACACUGCCCAUGUUCCCCGGCUCACCUGUUAGCUCCCCGGCAGCUUGCAAACAUGUCUAUACACACUGCCAUCUUCCUACCACGAGUGCCAUAACUCUCUGCUUCUCUGCUGAGGCCCUUCUCAGCUCACAGUGCGAGUAGCCUGCAAGUGCUAAGGGCAUAAUGCCUCCAAGGUCAACUUUAAUCAACGAGGUUCAAGAGUCAGAAGAGUGAAUUCCUUCUGAGAUACAUUCUUUCUGGUUUCUCAGAGGCUCCCCAGAGGAAGUAGGCCCCAGUUGCUUAGGAAAAAUGGAACCUACUUAUUAAGGCACCCCCUUUUUACUUUUCUCCUUUCUUUCUCUCCCUUUCCCCACUCCAUUCCGUGAAGUUCCUGGGAUCACCAAAUAAACUAUCUGUAAUCAAAUCUUUAUCUCACUCUGCAUUCUGGGGAACCCAAACAAAGAUGGUAAGUUUGCCUAUCUACAUUUAUGUCUUAUUUGCUACAAGUAUUACUGGUAAUUUUCUUGACAAAAGUAAUAUGAUAUCUGCUGAUAGGCCAAAAUAAUACAUAUUUAUAGUGAUAACUGCAGCAAAAAUGUGAAAACCAAUUUUAAAAAGUUAUUUUCACUAGUUUAAGAAAAAUGAAGAAAUUGAACUUUUAAAAAAUGCAGUAAUACCUCCUAACACAUUAUGAAGAGGAAUAUUUUCAUAACUGUAGAAAUGGUUGGUAAGGCUGUCAACUAUCCAAGGAUUAUAUUGAAAUAGCUGUCAUUGGCCAACUACUAUGACUAAUGAAAUCAACAUUUUCACCAUGCAGGCAAAAUAAACGUCAUGAGUCAAAUUUAAGAGGUAUUUCUUUUUUUCUUUAAAAGUUGUUGAACUAUCCAGGUUACUCAACCCUCAGUUUUUCAUUUUACAACAGAGUUUUCACAUACACAAAUACACAUACACACACAUUUGCAUUCAGACAUAUUCAGACAUACAUGCACACAUCUUUUAGCAUUUUAAAUAUUUUCAAAGUGUAGCUCUACAGACUCAUGCAUUUUAACUUUGGUAAUGCAUGCAGUAUUCCCUUUGGAAUGCAGCUUAUGAAGAAAUCCACGCUGGGGGCAAGUAUAUAGUAAUUCUUUCUUUAUCUCCUGCAUAUAUUAGGAAACCCUCCAGGAGGGUUAUUACUAAGACAAAUUUAGAAAGACCUCCACAUUCACAGAGACAAAAAUAUCAGCGGCAUCCUGAAAAAGCCAAUGAGUGAUCAAAAAUCAGAAAUAAACAAGCUUUGCUCAUUUUAAGCCAUAUAAAUAUUUGUUGAAUAAAUCCUGUUUUGUUUUCACUUUUGAUGGGAUGUUAGUUUGUGAAAUCAAAUGAUACCCAGAUUCUUUCUUCCCAUAGGUUUAUAAAUACCCAAAUAUGGCAUAUUUGACUCCAUAUACAGGCUUUGUUGAACAUGGAUUGUUUUUGUCUACCUUUCUCCAUUUCAAUCACAUGGUUCUAGUGUGAACUUCUAAUUAUGGACCCCUGAUCUCUCUGUUCCAGUCAAAGGGCAGGAAUGUGGUUAAUUACCAUGCAUCAUGCACUGUCUUUAGUGAUUAUUCUAAGAGGCUAUGAAAGGUAAACCAAUCAGAGGCCUUCACCAGGAUUCUGAAGUGGAGCUCCACAAGGAAGAAGAGCUUUCUUUGUUAAUGAUGAUGUCUGGAAGCAGCCAUGUAACUCCACCCCAUGGAGACAGCUGGUAUAGAAGAAUGAAGCCAAAUUGUAGGGACAGGUGAUACCAAGUGUAAGGUCCUCAGUUCUAGAGUUGGAGAAUCCCACUGCCCAACUCUGUGCACCCUGUCUUCUGGGGUUUGGUUGUUCCCUUCACAAGCUUUCUGGGAGCACCUAUUGUAUCUCUCCCCGUAUUCCUCCAUGGAGCUCAAAGUAAGCCACCUUGGGUUUCCACUGUUUACAACCAAGAGCUCUGAUAUAUGUGCUGCAUUUACUUUUGCUGUUUUAUCAAAUACUUACAAACUCAACUGCUUAAUUAGGCAAAGCAUUCUAUUGCUUUUCCUUUUUGAUAUCUCAGUAAUUGAUUUCUAAGGAAGAGAGGGCAUCUUGCUGGGAUUGUUUUCACCUAUUGCUCUUUUGCCCAGCCUCACCCAGCUCAGAUAUUGACUAAAGCCGUUCAACUCAGCUGGUCUGGCUACAGAGUACAGGGGUAGGUGCGCACCAUGGCUCAGGUGCAAUAACGACUGUAGCUUCCCAAAUUGUAAUGUCAGGUUACCAAUGUCGAGACGAAUUGGGAUUGCCUAAGUGAUUCCCUGGGUACACUCACCUUUUUACCCAAUGAUAAAAACGAGAGAUCUCAACAAAAUAGCUCUUAUCUAUUAUGCUGCAGACUGACAAUUCUUUUUUUUGUUUGUUUGUUUUUUUGAAGACAGAGUCUCACUCUG